rnacentral:piRNA from 1 species
UGCAAAAUAUGAAUACAUGCAUCAAGCAC